rnacentral:rRNA from 1 species
UACGUAGGGGGCAAGCGUUGUCCGGAAUCAUUGGGCGUAAAGAGCGUGUAGGCGGCCAAGCAGGUCCGUUGUGAAAACUGGAGGCUUAACCUCCAGACGUCGACGGAAACCGCGUGGCUAGAGUCCGGAAGAGGAGACUGGAAUUCCUGGUGUAGCGGUGAAAUGCGCAGAUAUCAGGAGGAACACCGAUGGCGAAGGCAGGUCUCUGGGCAUUAACUGACGCUGAGGAGCGAAAGCAUGGGGAGCGAACAGG